CUGCUGAAAUCAGAGCCAAAAUGGUGAAAAUUAAAUUUCUUCAGGAACAAGUUGGCAAUCAUAGGUCCAGCGUACUGGUCAGUGCUGCAGUGCAUCCUGCAGACCAAAGGCCCAACACACAAGAAUGUGAUUCACAUACUAACUAAAGUAGUAAGGUCCAAACAUAUUACUGUGCAAAAACUUGGCGCUACGUUCGACCAAUAGGAAAGAUCGCCUGUUAUUACAUCACGACACACGACAACAUAUUCGAGCUCUUAGAUUGAAAUCUAAAGAGCGGAUUUUGACUAAGUUUCAGUUAAAACGAGACUUUAUGCCAGCAGUAUAACGCUGUCUCGUUUUAACAGUGUCUUAAGUCUGAGUCAAAGUGCGGUUUAUUGAUCUCAGCCUUACUGUAACCUAAAAUGGCUUCAAUAGCUACCAAAAUAUAUCUAUCGGUAUACUGUGUCAUAGGUACCUAAGUUUGUACAGUCGAAACCACAAAUACAAAUCCACAAGUACUGUCGCUGUUACGGACACAUCUACUCGUGCCUUGCCAAAUACCAAGUGUAAUAAUUCAGUUUUAAAUUGGUAAUAGGUUGUGGUAAACUUUACAACAUUACGAAUAUUUGGAUAUUGAUAUAUAAUCGAAAUAUUCUGUUUGUAUAUAAAUAUCCCAUAUUAUACCUAAAAUAAUUACUAUUAUUGUUGUCUAUUGCCAAAAGCUUCCAUAAUUUAUCUCAGAUCACAUACCAAUUUUUUCUUGGAUUUUAUGUAAGAAUAGGAGAAAAUUUAAUUUAUUUAACUUCAUAGGAUCACUUUUAUUUCAAAUUCGUGAUUUGACGCAAACCACUUAUAAACUAAAUAUACAUCAUUCGUCGAAUAAAAUCGAAUCAAUGAACGAAAUAUGUUUUUGUUUGACUAUUAACUGAGAAAUAAGAGCUGCUUUACCACAUGUAUUAAUAACAGCGGCUAAAAAUUGCACAUUAAAAAACUAUAGAUUCCAUAACCUACUUCAAUAGAAAUCAGGGCAUAGAGAACACAAUACUGCAACCAAUUUAAUCCUUGUAGAAUGCUGUGCUGACAUAAUGUGAAUUAGGGAUAACUUGCCCGUAUGGUAGCUCAAGAAACCAUAUAAGUGCUGAAUUAAUUUCAACACAGGCAUAAUACAAAAAAUUAUACGCAGCUAAGAAUAUAAUAUUGAUUUUUUUUAAUACUAUGUUAAUUAAACAACAAAAUGUACAUAACAUUAUUUUAGCUGUCCGUAACAUCUAAAAACCUUAUCUCGUACAUGUGUGAAAUCACGACCGAUAUCAAACUUUACGAAGCGAUACAAUGUGAACCUUAUCUAAGUUUACCUUAAAGCUUGCACACACAACGCGCGAUGGAAACGAGCGGAAAAUUACAACCACAUUCAGUAAGGAUUCAGUAAUAUUUUAAAAAGAAAAAUGAGUUUACUACUAAUUCGGACUUAAUCAAAAUCAGAAAAUAAUGAUUGUAUGUUCGAUUAUUAUGAGAGAAACGCGAUUAUCUUGCGUGCUUCGUAAAAUUCCUUUUAUAACAAGUCAAACACGCGGGACACGUAUACGCGCGUUUAUUGCGCCGGCCUGCCGCGCCGUUUCCGUCGCGCUUUGUGUGAAGCCUUUAACGAAUCGUAAAUAUCAGCAGCAGCAAAGCUUGCUUACAUACGUUCAAAAGAUCUGUACUCUGCGAGAUUAUUGGGAAAAUGAAAUACUUAGAUUCAUGAAAAUGCUAUGUUUCAAAUAUAGGUAUAAUAAAAAUAACUGACAAAAUGGAACUCGUAUCACAAUACUUAGUCUAAAUACUAAAAUGCAUACCACAAACAGACUCUUAUAAGUAUUUGAUUUCUUACAGCAUGUAAUUUACGUGAGACAUUCUAAUAUUACGAUUUUUUUCCAAAUAUUAUAUUGUUAUGUUAAAGGGGUUUUUUUUUAAAUCAUAAAUGUGUAUUUUGCAUGUAUUUUGACAAAGCAUUAAUUCAGCCAAUCAUCUCGCAAGUCGCAGAACAUUGCAUUAUAUACCACAGUCAGAACUCUGAUC